UAUGUAUAUACGCCCGUGCGUGUACACUAAUUUGUAAACGUUCAUAUUUACAUAUAAAUAUAUAUGACGAAAGGUGGAAUGGAAAGCAAAACAAUCUAAAAGCGUUUAAGCGACUCGUUAAAAUAUUGAUAAUGACUUUCAAUGGUGACUACGAUAGGUGCCUGGCUGGUGCAAAUGAUGAUGUAGUAGUUGCUGGGCAACGCCGGAGCUCAUUUGUUCUCUCGUGAUGACGCUAACAGUUUUUUGUUUAACCAAUUGGCAAGGUGAAAUUUAUUAAAACUGUCAGUUAGCAAUCCCAAAUUGCUGUCAGCGUUUACCGGUUGCAACAACAAACGAGGGUUCAGAAUGCGGAUUGUAUUAGUUGCAUCUCGAAACCUUAAGAAUCAGAGCUUGGAGUGCGAAAAAAGUUUAAAGAGUACACUUAUUGAAGAUACGAUAAUGUCAAGACGCACAAUCAAAACAAGAGAUUACGUUGUACCUACCUCAAUGGAUUAUUAUUACUACUUACAAUUCGAAGAAUUUUAAAUUUUAACGUUGUAGCUAAUAAUACAACUUAUAUAUUUUCUAAUAAGUUAGCAUCGUAUGUUGAAUCACUUUGAAUUAUGGCCUUAAACAAAUAUAUUAGGAGAAAUACGUCGCUGUACAGAAUGGCUGCUUUUCGAUUCACAGAAAAAGAGACUAGGGGAAAACCCCGUUGCCGAGGCAUGACACCGCGCUUAAGGUUAAGCUUUGAUAUUCGAUGCUUGUGUGACAUAAUUACUAAACCGUGAAAUAUUUGCAACUACAGAUAUGCAGACUUUAGUUGAAAAAAUACACUAGUGUACGACUAUAACUUAGUAACAUUAAAGAAGACUAUGUAAAAGAA